GGCUGAACACCGUUGACCCCGGCAGUACAAGAGCCACUGCCAGAAUUUCCUGGUUUGCAGUGCCAUUCAUGUUCGUUCAAGCAACAGCGACAAGCAAAGGGGAUUUUCCUGAGCAGCUUGAGUAACAAAGAAAUGAGGCAAAUUAUUGAGAAACUGAUGGGCAUUCACUGAAGAGCAACAAAUAUGAUUUCUGCAGUUGUAAUUAGCAACUGACACAUUCUGAAACCCGUGGUGGCCCAGAAGGGCACAUGUGGGCACAAGGCUGUGCCAACGUGGAGCAACAAUUGCAACCGAAAGGAAUGGGCACAGUGUGGUCAGAUGGAAACUGGGGCAGGCAGAGCAGGGCUGGUGUUAACUGCGAUUGCUACAAGGAGCACAGCUGUGACCAUCUUAACGCCUCUCAGCCAGAGGAUGACACAGAAGAAGGGCACAAAAAUGACCAAUGGGGCUACACAAAGAAGCCAGAAGCAGAGAAUUCCAUAACUCAGGAUCUUUGAUUCAGAUAAUUUUCUUUUCAUCACCUUAAGAGAGCAAAUAAAUCCCCCAAACUACUUUUUCUACUGUUCAAGCUGCUAGAGGAUAUUCUUGACUGGAAGUUGUCCAUGUUGUGA